rnacentral:rRNA from 1 species
AUUGAACGCUGGCGGAAUGCUUUACACAUGCAAGUCGAACGGUAGAGGGGGCAACCCCUCGAGAGUGGCGAACGGGUGAGUAAUAUAUCGGAACGUGCCCAGUCGUGGGGGAUAACGUAGCGAAAGUUACGCUAAUACCGCAUACGAUCUAAGGAUGAAAGCGGGGGAUCGCAAGACCUCGCGCGAUUGGAGCGGCCGAUAUCAGAUUAGGUAGUUGGUGGGGUAAAGGCUCACCAAACCAACGAUCUGUAGCUGGUCUGAGAGGACGACCAGCCACACUGGAACUUAGACACGGUCCAGACUCCUACGGGAGGCAGCAGUGGGGAAUUUUGGACAAUGGACGCAAGUCUGAUCCAGCCAUUCCGCGUGCAGGAUGAAGGCCCUCGGGUUGUAAACUGCUUUUGUACGGAACGAAAAGGUCUCUCUUAAUACGGGGGACUCAUGACGGUAUCGUAAGAAUAAGCACCGGCUAACUACGUGCCAGCAGCCGCCGUAAUAC